GCGCGAGUGGCGGAAUGGCAGACGCGCUGGCUUCAGGUGCCAGUGUCCGCAAGGACGUGGGGGUUCAAGUCCCCCCUCGCGCA
rnacentral:tRNA from 7 species